rfam:Oryza glaberrima chromosome 2 Oglab02_0334_2, whole genome shotgun sequence.
UAUAGCAUACCAAUAAUACUUAGAUCGUCCGUCUUAUUUAAAUUUUUUUAAAAAAAUUUAAAACAUAAGUCACGCAUAAAAUAUUAUUCAUGUUUUAUCAUCUCAUAACAACAAAAAUAUUAAUUAUAAAAAAAAUUCAAAUAAAACGGACGAUCAAAGUUGGACACGGAAACUCAUGGUUGCACUUAAA